ensembl:lincRNA Gm44191 predicted gene, 44191
AGAACUUCAGUGCAAGGCCUGGGGGGUGACUCUGAGGGAGGAGCCGAUCUCUCCCAUCUGCUCCUUGCGCCAGGGCCAGAACACAGGGGGCCCAUGCAGGAGUUCAUGAAGUCUCAUCCAUCGGUGGUCUCCACAGGAUGGGCCAUGGACAGCCAUAAGGCAGGCACUGUGAGGUCUCACCCGGCCAGGGAGCCACCUGGGGAUGAAGCACAUGAACAACAGCAGCAACACAGACAUGAGGGUCUGAGGUAAGGCCUAAUACGGCGAGAAGCUCGGGGACCAGGUUCUAGACCCUCCUGCAAAAGCCCCGUGGAGAACACGAAGAAAUGGGUGCUCAUUUGCAAUUAGCAAGGCGGUACGUAGUCCUUGGUAAGUUCACGGCUUCACACUCUUCUCUAGAGGCAAGAUGUCAGGAAAACCUGUCCAGCUCUUGGUUUGUUGAUGCAUAAAAUGAGAGCACUGGAUUAAAUGUGCAAGAUAAGAUGUCUCUAAGCUCUGAGAUUUCAGGGUAUAUACAAAUCAAAUUCAUUAAACAUCAAAUUCAGAAUUUUAAAAUAUUGCAUUCAUAUAGAUAACAGGCCAAAUCGAAUAUGGCGAAAGUCAGCACACUGAGAUGUAACCAUCACAUUUGUAUCCAGCCAGCCCACAAGUACAGAUUAGGAGAGUUUGGCUUGAGAGUCAUCUGCGUUAAACACCAGGAAAAUCUGAGUAACUGACUGGGUCCGCCUUGCCUAUUGGAAUUUCUUCUCCGGCAGAGAGAUGUGGAACAGAUGCUCACGAGGCCUCUCAGGACCUACAGAUGCUCAUUCCCACAAGCUUCACCCCUGUGAGCUCUGCCCUGGUCUUUACCUCCGUCCAGUGAGUACAGGUAGACCAUGACACGAGCACAUUUGAUUCAAGGUCACGUGGUUUUAUAAGCCCUUAACGGGGUCACUGAACGGUCCAAGCUCUUCCUAAGAACCUUUUGGCUUUGCCUGAUCCCCACCCCUCAAGAGGCAAUUGUCCUGGGUCACACACAUCCUCUGCCUGGUGUACAAAGUCACCUACGCACAAAGCUCAUAGCCAGAAGGCAGCUUCUCGAACUCUCUCUCUCUCAGCUCCUCAAGAGUUAUGGGCAUUAAUCUGUGGUUCCCUGAAGCACGCUGCCACUCUGCUGACUACAACCAAAUUCAUCUUCAAGUUGGAAAGAUGCCCCAGUGGGGGACACGUCAUGAUUUAAUGCCAUCCAAGUACUACAGGGCACACUUCUUAAAGAAACCAUUGUAAAUUAUUUGUGGCUAAUUCUGCUAGUGGACGGAGGGCACACUAUGUUCUUGAAGUACAAGAGCCCAGCUUGUAUCUAAUAAUUGUUAUAUCUCCUCUGGAAUUUACUGCCGAUGUCUCAAUUUUAACAAUUUAAAUAACAAGCUUAACCAAGUGGAACAAGGCUCAGGCAGUCUGGCACUCAGGAUGAAGGCAGGACAACUCAUGUCUCAGUGAAUUUUCACUUUGACAUGAGCGGUGACACACCGAGAUGAAAUCUGGUUUAAAGCGGUAGCUUUAGCAAGCCCAUGACAGCCUCUUAGGCUCUGCAAAACAAUUUCAAGAGAGUGCACACAUAUACUUGUUAACUUUACUUAAGGAGACUGAUUAGAGACAACACAUGAAUAUGCUAAUAAGAGGUGCAAGCUGGAAGGUACACCCUCGAGCUGGGUAAUUGGCACUGCCGUCUUCAUCCUUCUUAAUGGACUGCUUCAUUGUCUUAAUCUUUGGCUGCGUCUGUUGGAUUAGGCACUGUAGGGAUCUUUUGUAUCCCCCGAGGAAUAACGACCACAGUGCCUUUCUGCGGACCCUGGCACUUGAUGUCGCCAUGCUAUGUUGUCGCCAUGCCAUGCUGUCAGUUCUGAACUCCUUUGGGUUACCUUCCCUUUGGCUCUCUUUAUUCUGUGUCUUGAAAAAGCCCCACAAGGUUACAAAAUGCCCUGUGCCCAAAAUUACAUAAUGCAUGCAAGGACCGCUCUGAAAGAUCGGUGCCACUGGUCGCUAUAACUCAAGGACAACUAACACAUGACUGGCAGCAUCUCUCCCCAACUGCAAAGGUAUGGAAGCAAGGAGACCAGGCCCUGAGCUUAAAAAAAAAAACAAAACAAAACAUGGAAAAAGUCCCUUCUGUGGCUCACUGCUUCCUCUUGAGCCAGGAGCUGAAUGUCUGAUGUCAAGGGCAUCUUGCCCAGCUGUUUUAUAAUCUUCUGCUCUGACCUAAGAACACCUUAGACUAAUUCAAAUUCACUUGCAUUAUCUUAAUUAAAUAAUGAAAAUCUUAAUUGGAUCAAUCCACUCCAUCAGUUAGGCAAUUUCUUAAACUAUUAAAGCAUGCAUCUGCAUAUGACCUAAAUGUUACCCAAAGAAAAUGAAUACUAAAAUCUACACAAACUCUUGAACACAAAUAUUCACACCAGCCUUCAUUUCUAAUAACCUCAAAAGCUGGAAAGAGCCCAAAGAACCAUCAACAGGCGAGCAGAAGGGCAAAGUGUGCUCUCUCUAAAGUGGAACUUUACCAGCACAAACAAAUCUCCUAACACAUUUGCUGAGUGAAAGAAGCCAGCCAAAGAAGAUACACUGUAUACUGGCACUGGAUACAUAGUGAUAGUCAGUAGAUCAGAGGUACAAUAAGAAUACCCCUGGAUGUACAUUAAAGUGAGCCCUCAGGAAGGAGGAGGUCACAAUGGAACACAAGGGUAUUGGGCAUGCUCAGUCUACCAUAGUAGCAAUGGUUGCAUUGAGGCACAUCUAUGUCAAAGCUUAUAAAAAGUUUAAAAAUGGAUAGCUUAACUUGCUCAGCCAUAUUCACUGGUACUCUAUUCAUAAUAGUCAGAAAUUGGAAACAACCUAGAUGUCUAUCAGUAGGUGAAUGGAUAAAGAAAAUGUGGUUCAUUUAUACAAUGGAAUGUUACUCAGCUGUUAAAAAUGAAAUUAUGGAAUUUGCAGGUAAAUGAAUGGAGCUAGAAAAAAAAAUCAGCCUAGGUAGGGUAAUAGAGACUCCAAAAAACAAAUAUGGCAUGUACUCACUUACAUAUAGAUGUUAGCUGUUAAAUCCUUGAUAAGCAAGCUACAAUCUAUAUACCUCAGAGAUUAUGUAUAGAGUAAGUGCCUAUGGAAAAGAAUUGGAUCACCCUAGGAAGGGGAUACAGAAUAAACAGUUAUGGAUUGGGGGGACUGGAAUGGGAGGAUCAAACAGGGAGGAGGAGGCAAGAGGGAAGGGAAGGACAGCUAAAAUUAAGGGCCAUUUGAGGAAUGGUAUUAAAAACCUAAUACAGAAGAAGCUUUCUAAAAUAUAUACAUAUAUGAAUAGAACCAUCAAGUAACAGGGGAGACAGAGUCCCAACUGAAUAGCUCUCAUCACCAAAGGAAGCUUCCAAAACACAGGAUUGGGUUACACCUAAUUGUGUUGUUGGUCAAAAGGUUCCCGUGGAAACCCCCAAAUAAUACAGGCUAUUGCCAAGGCUAUUUGGUGGCUGUCC